rnacentral:rRNA from 1 species
GACGAACGCUGGCGGCGUGGAUUAGGCAUGCAAGUCGAACGGUAUCAUCCUUUCGGGGGUGAGAGAGUGGCGAACUGGUGAGUAACACGUAGGUUAUCUACCCUCAAGACGGGGACAACCCAGGGAAACUUGGGCUAAUACCGGAUGUGAGCAACUUUUAGUUGUUUGAAAGGUGGCGUAAGCUGUCGCUUGGGGAUGAGCCUGCGUCCUAUUAGUUAGUUGGUGAGGUAACGGCUCACCUAGGCAAUGAUAGGUAGGCGGCCUUAACGGGUGGUCGCCCACACUGGGAUUGAGAUACGGCCCAGACUCCUACGGGAGGCAGCAGUCGAGAAUAGUCUACAAUGGUCGGAAGACUGAUAGUGCGACGCCGCGUGAACGAUGAAUCCCUUCGGGUGUAAAGUUCUUUUAUAUGUGAGCAGUGCUUCUUAUAUUAACAGUAUGGGGAGAGAGAUAUUAGCAUAUGAAUAAGCAACGGCUAACUCCGUGCCAGCAGCCGACGGU